UACAGAGGUCUCAAGCGUUGUUCGGAUUCAUUGGGCGUAAAGGGUGUGUAGGUGGCGCGCUAAGUCGGGUGUGAAAUUUCGGAGCUUAACUCCGGAAACUGCAUUCGAUACUGGCGUGCUUGAGGACUGGAGAGGAGACUGGAAUUCAUGGUGUAGCAGUGAAAUGCGUAGAGAUCAUGAGGAAGACCAGUGGCGAAGGCGGGUCGUCUGGACAGUUCCUGACACUGAGACACGAAGGCCAGGGGAGCAAACGGGAUU
rnacentral:rRNA from 1 species